rnacentral:rRNA from 1 species
UACGUAGGGUGCGAGCGUUAAUCGGAAUUACUGGGCGUAAAGUGUGUGCAGGCGGCUCUGCAAGUCGAGUGUGAAAUCCCCGAGCUUAACUUGGGAAUUGCGCUCGAAACUACGGAGCUGGAGUGUGGCAGAGGAAGGCGGAAUUCCACGUGUAGCGGUGAAAUGCGUAGAUAUCUGGAGGAACACCGGUGGCGAAGGCGGCAUCCUGGACCAAUUCUGACGCUGAGGAGCGAAAGCCAGGGGAGCAAACGGG